GAUGAACGCUGGCGGCGUGCCUAAUACAUGCAAGUCGAGCGAACGGACGCGAAGCUUGCUUCUCUGAUGUUAGCGGCGGACGGGUGAGUAACACGUGGAUCCCCUCCCUAUAAGAGUGGGAUCAUUUCGGGAAACCGGCGAUAAUCCCGGAUAAUAUUUUGAACCGCAUGGUUCAAAAGUGAAAGACGGUCUUGCUGUCACUUCUAGAUGGUUACGCGCUGCAUUAGCUAGUUGGUAAGGUCAAGGCUUUCCACGGCAACUAUGCCUAGCCGACCUGAGAGGGGGAUCGCCCACACGGGAGCUGAGACGCGGUCCUGACGCCUGCGAGACGCAGCAGUAUGGAACCUGCCGCAAUGGGCGAAAGCCUGACGGAGCAACGCGGCGUGAGUGAUGGAGGUCUCCCGAGCGUAAAGCUCGGUUACUAGUUAAGAACAUAUUUGUAAGUAACUGUACACAUCGUGACGGUACCUAAUCAGGAAGCCACGGCUAACUACGUG
rnacentral:rRNA from 1 species